AACCUCCGCAAUGUGAGAAAUCGCGACGGGGGGAUCCCAAGUGCCAUUCUUAACGGGAUGGCUUUUCAUUAGUGUAAAGAGCUUUUGGAAUAAGAGCUGGGCAAGACCGGUGCCAGCCGCCGCGGUAACACCGGCAGCUCUAGUGGUAACAAUUUUUAUUGGGCCUAAAGCGUCCGUAGCCGGUUUAAUAAGUCUCUGGUGAAAUCCUGUAGCUUAACUAUGGGAAUUGCUGGAGAUACUAUUAGACUUGAGACCGGGAGAGGUUAGAGGUACUCCCAGGGUAGAGGUGAAAUUCUGUAAUCCUGGGAGGACCGCCUGUUGCGAAGGCGUCUAACUGGAACGGUUCUGACGGUGAGGGACGAAAGUUAGGGGCGCGAACCGGAUUAGAUACCCGGGUAGUCCUAACUGUAAACGAUGCGGACUUGGUGUUGGGGUGGCUUUGAGCUGCUCCAGUGCCGAAGGGAAGCUGUUAAGUCCGCCGCCUGGGAGUGCGGUCGCAAGACUAAAACUUAAAGGAAGU
rnacentral:rRNA from 1 species